rnacentral:rRNA from 1 species
GAGUUUGAUCCUGGCUCAGGAUGAACGCUAGCGGCAGGCCUAACACAUGCAAGUCGAGGGGUAACAGAAAAGCUUGCUUUUGCUGACGACCGGCGCACGGGUGCGUAACGCGUAUGCAACCUACCUCAUACUGGAGGAUAGCCCCUGGAAACGGGGAUUAAUACUCCAUAGUAUCACAAUUUCGCAUGUUAUUGUGAUUAAAGUUUUUCGGUAUGAGAUGGGCAUGCGUCCCAUUAGCUUGUUGGUGAGGUAACGGCUCACCAAGGCAACGAUGGGUAGGGGGCCUGAGAGGGUGGUCCCCCACACUGGUACUGAGACACGGACCAGACUCCUACGGGAGGCAGCAGUGAGGAAUAUUGGUCAAUGGAGGAAACUCUGAACCAGCCAUGCCGCGUGAAGGAUGACGGCCCUAUGGGUUGUAAACUUCUUUUAUAGAGGAAGAAACUUGUCUACGAGUAGACAACUGACGGUACUCUACGAAUAAGGAUCGGCUAACUCCGUGCCAGCAGCCGCGGUAAUACGGAGGAUCCAAGCGUUAUCCGGAUUCAUUGGGUUUAAAGGGUCCGUAGCGGAUUUUUAAGUCAGUGGUGAAAGCCGACAGCUCAACUGUCGAACUGCCAUUGAUACUGGAAAUCUUGAGUACAAAUGAAGUAGGCGGAAUGAGUCAUGUAGCGGUGAAAUGCAUAGAUAUGACUCAGAACACCGAUUGCGAAGGCAGCUUACUAACAUGUAACUGACGCUGAGGGACGAAAGCGUGGGGAGCGAACAGGAUUAGAUACCCUGGUAGUCCACGCCGUAAACGAUCAUCACUCGCUGUUGGGCGAUAUACUGUCAGCGGCCAAGCGAAAGUAUUAAGUGAUGCACCUGGGGAGUACGCCGGCAACGGUGAAACUCAAAGGAAUUGACGGGGGCCCGCACAAGCGGUGGAGCAUGUUGGUUAAUUCGAUGAUACGCGAGGAACCUUACCAGGGCUUAAAUGUAGUUUGACCGGCUUGGAAACAGGCCUUCUC